rnacentral:tRNA from 1 species
GCAGGCUUGGCCGAAUUGUUAAGCUGUCCGCUAUAGUAAGCGGAAGAUCAUGGGUUCGAUUCCCAUCUGCU